AUUUUUCUUUUAGGCUUUAAGAAUAUAGCCUGCUGUGAGGUAGCCGUCCCUUGAGGAGAGGUGCGCAAUCCAGAAGGCUAACAGAGGUGUUGUUCCAUUUUAACUGUCCAGAGUCAUCUUUCACCUCCUCUCUUGGGUUCUUCUGCAUUUCCUUAGAAACGUAUUUCCUUUAAGAGGAAGAUCACCAAAAUGGAUACAAGUCGGGUCAAAUAUUUGUU
rnacentral:lncRNA from 1 species